GUCGGUCUUAUGAGCCGAAUGUCGUGGGUUCGAUCCCCACAUGGAUCAAAAGAACUUGUUAAAAAAAAAAUUA